UCGGGUGGCUGGGCGACCGCUGGCGGCGUGGCGACACGCGGCUGGAGGAAAGUCCGGGCUCCACGGGAAUACGGUGCCGGUCAACGACCGGCGGGGGUCAAACCCCAGGGAAAGUGCCACAGAGAGCAGACCGCCACGGCGUGGAAACACCCCGCGGCAAGGGUGAAAGGGUGGGGCAAGAGCCCACCGCGCCCCCGGCGACGGGGGCGGCACGGCAAACCCCACCGGGAGCAAGGCCGAAUAGGGGCGGCCGGCGAAGCGUGCCGCAAGGUGCGUGGACGCAGGGGCAUUCUCGCCCCGUCGCCCGGGUUGGCCGCGAGAACCCUGCGGCAACGCAGGGUCCAGAGGAAUGGUCGCACAGCGCCCGAAAGGGCGUGGACAGAACCCGGCUUACAGGCCACCCGGCGCC
rnacentral:RNase_P_RNA from 1 species